UUGUUAUAACACUAAUUGGAUAGAUUUGAAUUACAAUAAUACAAACAUAGAUUGAUACAAUGAAUACAAAAGCAUCAAACCUCUCUUAUUCGAAACACAUCAAACCUUUAUUUGGGAAGAUUCAUUGUGUAAUAGGUUUGGAGAAAAGUUAAGCAAAGAAAAAGAUUGGCAGCAACUAAAGCAGUAAAAGUCCACGGACUACGAAAAUAAGUAUUAAUUAAUUCAGCAAUCCAUGUUUUUGCCUUGCUGCUGCAGUGCUUCUCAAUACACACCCUCACAUCAUCAACAUUAGUGGUAUCAUGAAGUCCCCAGGUAUUAAUCCCUUUGAUUACUUCAACAACUUGUUCAUCAUUGUCAAAACCGUUGAUGAGUAUCUUCUUUUCUCGCAGUUCCUUCACAUCUUCAGAUUUAACAAUUAGCGAUUUCAAGAAAUUAACAUAACAUAUUAUAGGCAUGCCAACGUUGCUUUCUUGAAGCGCUUCAUACGCAAUCAACUGUGUAUGGAGUUGUUUGGAAACGGCAUCGACAUGCCAAACGGGGAGUUGAAGUUGCCCAUAAAAUUUGUAGGAUCUGAACUGAAUAUUCUUCAAGUCGUAUGAACUACGUUUGAAGUGGAUGCCUUUUGCUUUGAGAUCGGUGACUGGACGAGGUUGGGCAUCGUGAACCCAUAAUGCAUAUGGAUUUUCGUUCUUCCAUGGCCACCAUAGACAUUUGAAUUUGAAAUUAAUAUUCUUCAAACAGUAUGAAGUAGGCUUUUCUCCUUCAUUAUCCAGUUCGACAAGUAGUUGAUGUAGAGCAGCCACAAGGUGAAGCGGUUGCUUUUUAUCUUCUCCUGUGAUACUUAUUGGGAAGUUACUCUGCAAAGCAUAGUAAGAUAAGAACUCAGAAAUUAACAUUGGUCCUUCUUCUUCGUUUCCAUAUAUUAAAUUAGUCAAGAGCUCAAUAGCCCAGAGUGGAAUUUGAUUGUCGAGUAAACACAAAUCCUGGAAGGCAAAUUUCAAUAAAGCCCUUCCAAGAUGUUGACAGAAGCGGUAAUAUUUUUUAAAAUCUCCUGCAGAAAUCUUCAUAAGAUAUAUAGCGAAAGAUGCAUCUAGAAGAAUCAUUUCAGCUAGCGUUCUAUCAUCAUAUGCAUCUCUAGAAACCCCAACGUAACAAUUUCUAAUCUUGUCGAUCACUUUAAAGAUCUGGCAGUGGCAGGAUUCUUUGCUUUUGCCGCUGCUUGAAACAAACAUUUUAAGGACUUCAUGCUCAAAUUUUUCUGCCAUGCCAAGUUCUUUCAAGCCAUGGUAAUAAGGCCCAAAGGAAACCAUCUUAGGAGCGUAGUAAUCCUCUUCGUUGUGUUUAUUAAAACGCACAAGUUCGGGCACUCUAUGCAUUCGAGGAGAAUACUGAUCUUCACCUUCACCUUCACCUUCACCUUC
rnacentral:lncRNA from 1 species